AGCUGGCGCAGCGGCGGUCUGGAGUGAGGGUAGCACGUUGAGCUGAAGUCUUUGCAGUGCGCUGCAGCACAGGGACUGGCCUUGUGCCCAGGGUCUGGUGGGAAUCCCAGGCCUGGCUACGUCCGGGUCCCCGGAGGAUGGAUCUCGCGUGGAGUGCGUGGUACUGCAAGUGUGUCAAAGUAAAGGAAUCGUCGACACUGUGGGCCCAGAGCCUUGUGGUCGCCUGGCUCAGUAGGGCCGAGUGGGACCAGGUGACGGUUUAUCUGUUCUGUGACGACCAUAAGUUGCAGCAGUACGCGCUGAACCGCAUCACCGUGUGGAGGAGCAGGUUAGGCAACGAACUCCCCCUGGCAGUGGCUUCUACCGCUGACCUGAUACGCUGUAAGCUCAUGGAUGUAACUGGUGGCUUGGGCACUGAUGAACUUAGACUGCUGUAUGGCAUGGCAUUGGUCAGGUUUGUGAAUCUUAUCUCGGAGAGGAAGACAAAGUUUUCCAAGCUUCCCCUCAAGUUCCUGGCUCAGGAGGUGAACAUUCCAGAUUGGAUUGUUGAACUUCGUCAUGAGUUGACCCACAAGAAAAUGCCCCAUAUAAAUGACUGUCGCAGAGGCUGCUACUUUGUCCUGGAUUGGCUCCAGAAGGCCUAUUGGUGCCGCCAAUUGGAGAAUAGCCUUAGAGAGACAUGGGAGUUAGAAGAAGACAGAGAAGAGACAGAUGAAGAGGACCAGCAAGAAGAUAAAAAUGUUGUUAAUGCCAUCACAGAAUUGAAAUCAGAGCCUCAGGACAUUAAGAAAGAUGCAGAGUCAGAUGUCAGGACUGAUGGUGACAGCAAAGACAACAAAGAGGUGGAUUCUACUUUUGAAAAGGCUCUGAGACAUAAAGAGCUAUAUGAAAGAGCCAGAGAACUGCUGGUGUCAUAUGAAGAGGAGCAAUUUAAGGUGUUGGAGAAAUUUAGGCAUUUACCUCAGGCCAUUAAGGCAUGGAAUAACCCAUCCCCACGUGUAGAAUGCAUCCUGGCAGAGCUCAAGGGCAUUACAUGGGAGAACAGGGAGGCUGUGCUGGAUGCUUUUCUAGAUGACGGCUUCCUCAUCCCCACAUUUGAGCAGCUGGCAGCUUUGCAGAUAGACUAUGAAGAUGGUCAGACUGAGGUCCAGAGAGGGGAAGGUACUGAUGCAAAGUCACACAAAAACGUGGACUUGAGUGACAUCCUGGUACCAAAGCCAUUCUCUCAGUUCUGGCAGCCCUUGCUUAGGGGCCUGCACUCCCAGACCUUCACACAGGCCCUGCUGGAGAGGAUGUUCUCUGAGCUGCCAGCCUUGGGGGACAGUGGGAUCCGGCCCACCUACAUCCUCAGAUGGACCGUUGAACUGAUCGUGGCCAACACCAAAACUGGACGGAAUGCUCGUCGAUUUUCUGCAAGCCAGUGGGAAGCAAGGAGGAGCUGGAGGCUGUUUAACUGCUCCACCUCAAUUGACUGGCCUCAGGUGGUGGAGUCCUGCUUGGGCUCACCUUGCUGGGCCAGCCCCCAACUCCUUCAGCUUGCUUGCAGAGUGGAAGCUGCUGGUCUUGGAGAAGUCUGGACCACAGAGAUCUCCCAACCCAAGCAUACCAGAGGGAUGCGACACAUGCCAGCAGUAACAGCACCUUUCUUGGCAUCUUCAAAGCCAUGGGGCAGGUCCUGCCAGACGGAGAGCAGGAGAAGCUGCUGCGCAUCUGUUCCAUUUAUACCCAGAGUGGUGAAAACAGCCUGGUGCAGGAGGGUUGCGAGGCCUCCCCCAUUGGGAAGUCUCCAUAUACUCUGGACAGCCUGUAUUGGAGCCUCAAACCAACUGGCUCCAGCUUUGGGUCUGAAGGAAAGGUUCGGCAGCAGGAGGCACAGGGAAGCAUUAAUGAUGUCAAAGAAGAGGAGAAGGAAGAGAAAGUGGUCUUGCAAGACCAGGUGGAGGAAGAGGAGGAGGGGGAGGAGGAAGAGGAGGAGAAAGAAAAUGACCAGGAGGAAGAGGAUGAAGAAGAUGAAGAUGACGACGAUGAUGACGACGAUGAUGACAAUGGUGAUGAUGAUGAAGACAGAAUGGAGGUGGGGCCUAUCUCUACAGGGCAGGAGUCCCCCACUACCGAGAAUGCCAGGCUCCUGGCACAGAAAAGAGGAGCUCUACAGGGCUCUGCAUGGCAGGUUAGCUCAGAAGACGUGCGAUGGGACACAUUCCCCCUAGGCCGAAUGCCAGGUCAGACCGAGGACCCAGCAGAGCUCAUGCUGGAGAAUUAUGACACCAUGUAUCUUUUGGACCAGCCUGUGCUAGAGCAGCGGCUGGAACGCCCAAUGUGCAAGACUGGCACCCUGGGCCUGACCUGUGGUGUCAGCAGUGGAAACUGCAGUAACAGCAGCAGCAGCAACUUUGAGGGCCUUCUCUGGAGCCAGGGGCAGCUGCAUGGGCUCAAAACUGACCUGCAGCUCUUCUGAUGUCAGUCCUGGUGCAAGUGUUCAUCUAGCCCUGCCAGGGCAACAGCCCAUGCCCCAGUGUUCCCUGAGACAACCUGAAAGACAGCCUGGAUCAGCUACAUCAACACAGCUUUCUACCACAAUGGAAUUUUGAAUGUCUUUUGGGUUUGUUUUGUUUCUAAAAACAAUUAAACAGGCAACUGUUA